CACUACAAAACACCAAGUUGACUCUUUCUCAUCAGUUUUUCUUCUUAGUUUCAUUAUCUCCUCCUCUCUUCUUAGUAUUCAUUUCUCUAUUCCUCUUCUAAAAAUUAUUCUGGGUAUAAACUCUAUCAGAGUUUCUUGCUAGUUCUAUGAUCCUCAGAAAUUUCUGAGAAGUUCCUGGUGUAUCCUGGGGGACUUACACAAUACAGCAGAUAAGUUCUUAAGGACAGUGAUCUACAUGCCUC
rnacentral:lncRNA from 1 species